rnacentral:rRNA from 1 species
UACGUAGGGGGCAAGCGUUGUCCGGAAUUAUUGGGCGUAAAGAGCGUGUAGGCGGUCCGGUAAGUCAGCUGUGAAAGUCAAGGGCUCAACCCUUGAAAGCCGGUUGAUACUGUCGGGCUAGAGUCCGGAAGAGGCGAGUGGAAUUCCCGGUGUAGCGGUGAAAUGCGCAGAUAUCAGGAGGAACACCAAUUGCGAAGGCAGCUCGCUGGGACGUCACUGACGCUGAGACGCGAAAGCGUGGGGAGCAAACAGG